rnacentral:rRNA from 1 species
CGCGUAGGCGGAUUGUUAAGUCAGGGGUGAAAUCCCGAGGCUCAACCUCGGAACUGCCUUUGAUACUGGCGAUCUUGAGUCCGGGAGAGGUGAGAGGAAUUCCCAGUGUAGAGGUGAAAUUCGUAGAUAUUAGGAAGAACACCAGUGGCGAAGGCGGCUCAUUGGCCCGGUACUGACGCUCAUGUGCGAAAGCGUGGGGAGCAAACA